GUAGUCCACGCCGUAAACGAUGAGUGCUAAGUGUUAGAGGGUUUCCGCCCUUUAGUGCUGAAGUUAACGCAUUAAGCACUCCGCCUGGGGAGUACGGCCGCAAGGCUGAAACUCAAAGGAAUUGACGGGGGCCCGCACAAGCGGUGGAGCAUGUGGUUUAAUUCGAAGCAACGCGAAGAACCUUACCAGGUCUUGACAUCCUCUGAAAACUCUAGAGAUAGAGCUUCUCCUUCGGGAGCAGAGUGACAGGUGGUGCAUGGUUGUCGUCAGCUCGUGUCGUGAGAUGUUGGGUUAAGUCCCGCAACGAGCGCAACCCUUGAUCUUAGUUGCCAUCAUUAAGUUGGGCACUCUAAGGUGACUGCCGGUGACAAACCGGAGGAAGGUGGGGAUGACGUCAAAUCAUCAUGCCCCUUAUGACCUGGGCUACACACGUGCUACAAUGGACGGUACAAAGAGCUGCAAGACCGCGAGGUGGAGCUAAUCUCAUAAAACCGUUCUCAGUUCGGAUUGUAGGCUGCAACUCGCCUACAUGAAGCUGGAAUCGCUAGUAAUCGCGGAUCAGCAUGCCGCGGUGAAUACGUCCCCGGGCCUUGUACACACCGCCCGUCACACCACGAGAGUUUGUAACACCCGAAGUCGGUGGGGUAACCUUUAUGGAGCCAGCCGCCUAAGGUGGGACAGAUGAUUGGGGGUGAAGUCGUAACAAGGUACC
rnacentral:rRNA from 1 species